GGCGGACGGGUGAGUAACACGUGAGAAUUUGCCUUUAGGAGGGGGAUAACAAUUGGAAACGAAUGCUAAUACCCCAUAUGCUUUCGAGUGAAAUGAAUUUUUUAUUUGCCUAAAGAGAAGCUCGCGGCUGAUUAGCUUGUUGGUAAGGUAAGAGCUUACCAAGGCGACGAUCAGUAUCUGGUUUGAGAGGACGAUCAGACACACUGGAACUGAGACACGGUCCAGACUCCUACGGGAGGCAGCAGUGGGGAAUUUUCCGCAAUGGGCGAAAGCAUGACGGAGCAAUACCGCGUGAGGGAAGAAUGCCUAUGGGUUGUAAACCUCUUUUUUCAGGGAGGAAUAAAUGACGUGUACCUGAAGAAUAAGCAUCGGCUAACUCCGUGCAAGCAGCCGCGGUAAGACGGAGGAUGCAAGUGUUAUCCGGAAUCACUGGGCGUAAAGCGUCUGUAGGUGGUUUAAUAAGUCAACUGUUAAAUCUUGAGGCUCAACUUCAAAAUCGCAGCUGA
rnacentral:rRNA from 1 species